rnacentral:misc_RNA from 1 species
AGCAGCCGCGGUAAUUCCAGCUCCAAUAGCGUAUAUUAAAGUUGCUGCAGUUAAAAAGCUCGUAGUUGAAUUUCGGGACCAUCAUGUCGGUCGUGCCUCGGUACGUACUGGCAUUGUUGGUUUCUCCCUUCUGACGAACCAUGAUGUCAUUUAUUUGGUGUCAUGGGAAAUCAGGACUGUUACUUUGAAAAAAUUAGAGUGUUUAAAGCAGGCUCACGCUUGAAUACAUUAGCAUGGAAUAAUGAAAUAGGACGCUUGAUUCUAUUUUGUUGGUUUCUAGGAUCGACGUAAUGAUUAAUAGGGAUAGUUGGGGGCAUUAGUAUUCAAUUGUCAGAGGUGAAAUUCUUGGAUUUAUUGAAGACUAACUACUGCGAAAGCAUUUGCCAAGGAUGUUUUCAUUAAUCAAGAACGAAAGUUAGGGGAUCGAAGACGAUCAGAUACCGUCGUAGUCUUAACCAUAAACUAUGCCGACUAGGGAUCGGAUGAUGUUAAUUUUUUAAUGACUCAUUCGGCGCCUUAC